rnacentral:rRNA from 1 species
CAGCCGCCACGGGAAUACAGAGGGUGCGAGCGUUAAUCGGAUUUACUGGGCGUAAAGCGUGCGUAGGCGGCUUUUUAAGUCGGAUGUGAAAUCCCUGAGCUUAACUUAGGAAUUGCAUUCGAUACUGGGAAGCUAGAGUAUGGGAGAGGAUGGUAGAAUUCCAGGUGUAGCGGUGAAAUGCGUAGAGAUCUGGAGGAAUACCGAUGGAGAAGGCAGCCAUCUGGCCUAAUACUGACGCUGAGGUACGAAAGCGUGGGGAGCAAACAGGAUUAGAUACCCCUGUAGUCCCUGUCUCUUAUAC